GAUCAUGGCUCAGGACGAACGCUGGCGGCGCGCCUAACACAUGCAAGUCGAGCGAUGAAGAGAAGACAGAAGCCCUCGGGCAGACGUCAUCUUGGAUUAGCGGCGGACGGGUGAGUAACAGGUGAGUAACCUACCUUUGACACAGGGAUAGCCUCGGGAAACCGGGAUUAAUACCUGAUGACAUUACACUUUCGCAUGAAAGAGUAAUCAAAGAGAUUCGGUCAAAGAUGG
rnacentral:rRNA from 1 species